rnacentral:rRNA from 1 species
GAUGAACGCUAGCGGCAGGCUUGAUACAUGCAAGUCGAGGGGCAGCACAGAUAGCAAUAUUGGGUGGCGACCGGCAAACGGGUGCGGAACACGUACACAACCUUCCUUUUGGUGGGGGAUAGCCUUUGGAAACGGAGAUUAAUACCCCAUAAGAUAUUGGGACCGCAUGGUUUUGAUAUUAAAGAUUUAUUGCCAGAAGAUGGGUGUGCGUAUGAUUAGGUAGUUGGUGAGGUAAAGGCUCACCAAGCCGGCGAUCAUUAACUGGUGUGAGAGCACGACCAGUCACACGGGCACUGAGACACGGGCCCGACUCCUACGGGAGGCAGCAGUAAGGAAUAUUGGUCAAUGGACGCAAGUCUGAACCAGCCAUGCCGCGUGAAGGAUUAAGGUCCUCUGGAUUGUAAACUUCUUUUAUCUGGGACGAAAAAAGGCGAUUCUUCGUCACUUGACGGUACCAGAUGAAUAAGCACCGGCUAACUCCGUGCCAGCCGCCGCAGUAAAAC